rnacentral:rRNA from 1 species
GACGAACGCUGGCGGCGUGCUUAACACAUGCAAGUCGAACGGAAAGGCCCUGCUUUUGUGGGGUGCUCGAGUGGCGAACGGGUGAGUAACACGUGAGUAACCUGCCCUUGACUUUGGGAUAACUUCAGGAAACUGGGGCUAAUACCGGAUAGGAGCUCCUGCUGCAUGGUGGGGGUUGGAAAGUUUCGGCGGUUGGGGAUGGACUCGCGGCUUAUCAGCUUGUUGGUGGGGUAGUGGCUUACCAAGGCUUUGACGGGUAGCCGGCCUGAGAGGGUGACCGGCCACAUUGGGACUGAGAUACGGCCCAGACUCCCACGGGAGGCAGCAGUGGGGAAUAUUGCACAAUGGGCGGAAGCCUGAUGCAGCAACGCCGCGUGCGGGAUGACGGCCUUCGGGUUGUAAACCGCUUUCGCCUGUGACGAAGCGUGAGUGACGGUAAUGGGUAAGGAAGCACCGGCUAACUACGUG